rnacentral:rRNA from 1 species
UACGUAGGGGGCAAGCGUUGUCCGGAAUCAUUGGGCGUAAAGAGCGUGUAGGCGGCCCGGUAAGUCCGUUGUGAAAGUCCAGGGCUCAACCCUGGAAUGCCGAUGGAUACUGCCGGGCUAGAGUUCGGAAGAGGCGAGUGGAAUUCCUGGUGUAGCGGUGAAAUGCGCAGAUAUCAGGAGGAACACCAAUGGCGAAGGCAGCUCGCUGGGACGGUACUGACGCUGAGACGCGAAAGCGUGGGGAGCAAACAGG